GAUGAACGCUGGCGGCGUGCUUUACACAUGCAAGUCGAACGGCAGCACGGGUGCUUGCACCUGGUGGCGAGUGGCGAACGGGUGAGUAAUACAUCGGAACGUACCUUAUCGUGGGGGAUAACGCAGCGAAAGCUGUGCUAAUACCGCAUACGCCCUGAGGGGGAAAGCGGGGGAUCGCAAGACCUCGCGCGAUUAGAGCGGCCGAUGCCUGAUUAGCUUGUUGGUGGGGUAAAAGCCCACCAAGGCGACGAUCAGUAGCUGGUCUGAGAGGACGAUCAGCCACACUGGGACUGAGACACGGCCCAGACUCCUACGGGAGGCAGCAGUGGGGAAUUUUGGACAAUGGGGGCAACCCUGAUCCAGCAAUGCCGCGUGAGUGAAGAAGGCCUUCGGGUUGUAAAGCUCUUUUGUCAGGGAAGAAACACCGGCUCUAACACAGUCCGGGAAUGACGGUACCUGAAGAAUAAGCACCGGCUAACUACGUGCCAGCAGCCGCGGUAA
rnacentral:rRNA from 1 species